UACAGAGGUCUCAAGCGUUGUUCGGAUUCAUUGGGCGUAAAGGGCGCGUAGGCUGCGGGGCAAGUCGGGUGUGAAAUCUCAGAGCUCAACUCUGAAACUGCACUCGAUACUGCUUUGCUUGAGGACUGGAGAGGGGAUUGGAAUUCACGGUGUAGCAGUGAAAUGCGUAGAUAUCGUGGGGGAAGACCAGUGGCGAAGGCGGAUCUCUGGACAGUUCCUGACGCUGAGGCGCGAAGGCCAGGGGAGCAAACGGG
rnacentral:rRNA from 1 species